rnacentral:rRNA from 1 species
AUUGAACGCUGGCGGCAUGCUUUACACAUGCAAGUCGAACGGUAACAGGUUAAGCUGUCGAGUGGCGAACGGGUGAGUAAUGCAUCGGAACGUGCCCGGUCGUGGGGGAUAACGGAGCGAAAGUUGCGCCAAUACCGCAUACGAUCUGAGGAUGAAAGCUGGGGACCGUAAGGCCUCGCGCGAUUGGAGCGGCCGAUGUCAGAUUAGGUAGUUGGUGGGGUAAAGGCUCACCAAGCCAACGAUCUGUAGCUGGUCUGAGAGGACGACCAGCCACACUGCGACUGAGACACGGCCCAGACUCCUACGGGAGGCAGCAGUGGGGAAUUUUGGACAAUGGGCGAAAGCCUGAUCCAGCAAUGCCGCGUGCAGGAAGAAGGCCUUCGGGUUGUAAACUGCUUUUGUACGGAGCGAAAAGGUCUCCUCUAAUACAGGGGGCUCAUGACGGUACCGUAAGAAUAAGCACCGGCUAACUACGUGCCAGCAGCCGCCGUAA